rnacentral:hammerhead_ribozyme from 1 species
UUCCAGCUGAUGAGUCCCAAAUAGGACGAAACGCACGUCAAACUGGAU